rnacentral:lncRNA from 1 species
UUCACCAGGCAUCACAUUAUUAUACAUUAUAUUUGAUGGUAUAUAAUAUCAUUAGAUAUCAUAGCACUCAAAGUAUAUAGGGGGUUGUAACACAAGCAUACAUAUAUAUACAAACGAUAUGCAUCACAUGUUCUUUAGUUUGGUAUAUAUCCAUAUUAAAAUUCUAAAUCAAUUUCGAUAUUUAUAAAUCUUUGGUAACAUAUGAUAUAUCUGAUUUGACAAUUAACAUUUCUUCUAUUAAUAUAUAUAUAUAUAAUAUUGGAAAUGAAUUACGAUAAAAAAUACGUUUUAUAAGAGUGACCUAACCGUGUUACAAAAAAAAAAAAGAAUGACCUAACCAGGAACCACAUCCACAUGACACAAAUCUUACCCUAACGCUAAACAUCGAUGAAAACAUAUAGGUGUUGAUAGCUUUCAAAAAAAAAAUUGAUGCUGAUCUAAUGAUUCUAAUCCAUGUUUGUGUGAAACCCCAUUUGUAUUACUAUUAACUAAAUAUACAUACAGUAGAUCUUCUAUAAAUUAAUACUCGAUAAAUUAAUAAUUUUAUAAAUUAA